rnacentral:rRNA from 1 species
CCUACGGGAGGCUGCAGUGGGGAAUAUUGCACAAUGGGGGAAACCCUGAUGCAGCGACGCCGCGUGAGUGAAGAAGUAAUUCGUUACGUAAAGCUCUAUCAGCAGGGAAGAAAAUGACGGUACCUGAGUAAGAAGCCCCGGCUAACUACGUGCCAGCAGCCGCGGUAAUACGUAGGGGGCAAGCGUUAUCCGGAUUUACUGGGUGUAAAGGGAGCGUAGACGGUGCGCCAAGUCUGGGGUGAAAUGCCGCAGCUUAACUGCGGAAUUGCUGUGGAAACUGGGGAACUGGAGUGCGGGAGGGGUAAGCGGAAUUCGUAGUGUAGCGGUGAAAUGCGUAGAUAUUAGGAGGAACACCGGUGGCGAAGGCGGCUUACUGGACCGUAACUGACGUUGAGGCUCGAAAGCGUGGGGAGCAAACAGGAUUAGAUACCCCUGUAGUC